rnacentral:rRNA from 1 species
GAUGAACGCUGGCGGCGUGCCUAUACAUGCCAGUCGAGCGAACAGACGAGGAGCUUGCUCCUCUGACGUUAGCGGCGGACGGGUGAGUAACACGUGGAUAACCUACCUAUAAGACUGGGAUAACUUCGGGAAACCGGAGCUAAUACCGGAUAAUAUAUUGAACCGCAUGGUUCAAUAGUGAAAGACGGUUUUGCUGUCACUUAUAGAUGGAUCCGCGCCGCAUUAGCUAGUUGGUAAGGUAACGGCUUACCAAGGCAACGAUGCGUAGCCGACCUGAGAGGGUGAUCGGCCACACUGGAACUGAGACACGGUCCAGACUCCUACGGGAGGCAGCAGUAGGGAAUCUUCCGCAAUGGGCGAAAGCCUGACGGAGCAACGCCGCGUGAGUGAUGAAGGUCUUCGGAUCGUAAAACUCUGUUAUUAGGGAAGAACAAAUGUGUAAGUAACUAUGCACGUCUUGACGGUACCUAAUCAGAAAGCCACGGCUAACUACGUG